GGGCAUAAAGUGCUCGUAGGUGGUUGAUCGCGUCGGAAGUGUAAUCUUGGGGCUUAACCCUGAGCGUGCUUUCGAUACGGGUUGACUUGAGGAAGGUAGGGGAGAAUGGAAUUCCUGGUGGAGCGGUGGAAUGCGCAGAUAUCAGGAGGAACACCAGUGGCGAAGGCGGUUCUCUGGGCCUUUCCUGACGCUGAGGAGCGAAAGCGUGGGGAGCGAACAGGCUUAGAUACCCUGGUAGUCCACGCUGUAAACGGUGGGUACUAGGUGUGGGGUCCAUUCCACGGGUUCCGUGCCGUAGCUAACGCUUUAACGUACCCCGCUGGGAGUACGGCCGCAAGGCUAAAACU
rnacentral:rRNA from 1 species